AAACCGCCCCUUAUGUUUUGCAACUGUAGCAGUUUUGACCCCCCAGGUCAAAUUUAAAAAAAAAAAAACACGUGACACCUCACUUAGGGUGCCACAUAAGCGUAGACCGAGUCAAAAUUGACCUUGGCAGCCAAAACGGCUACAGUUGCAAAACUUAGGAGACGGUUU
rnacentral:pre_miRNA from 1 species